UCGACGUUUGCCUCUGGCUGAAUGCUCAAGUUUUGGCCGUUGUUGUUACAAUAAUAGUUGUACUAGUGUAGCAAAAGAAGAAAAACUGCUUUUGGCAAAUAUUUGGAGCAUGAAUAUCCAAAUGAGAACGAAAUAACGAAUGCUGACGAAACUUGUAAUGCCACCAACAAAGAAAGCAUUGUGUAGCAAGUUAGUGCGUGACGUCAAGCGCCAAGUUGAACGAUGGCGUCACGGGAGGAAAAGUUUACUUCUCGGGUUGUUGCGCCACCUGUUGGUUUGAAUGCCACAUUCUUUUGCAAUGGACAGAAAUAAAUACGAAACAUACGUCAAUUUCCGUUUCAUCCAAAGAACAAUUUAUUAUGUAUUCGAAGACAACAACAAAAAAAAAAGAUGGUGGACAUAAUGGCUUUCUGAUGAAGACGGAAUAGUGUGUGUAAAGCAACAACGUCAUAUCAAAUUAAAGAACAACUUUUAAUGGUGGCUUCCUUUUUUUUAUCGGAGAAUUAAACAAAAAAAAAACGUUGAAUUUUAUGUUUUGUUUUCUUGUAUCACUGGAAGAAUUAAGCGCCAAAUGUGUGUCUAUGUGGGAAUUAUCGUUUCGAAAUUAUAAGUCUCCGAUACAAGUGAAAGAGUUAUACAAGGAUAAUUAAUUAUGUAUAUAUAACAUCAUUCAAUAUCGCGUUUUUUUUCCUAUUUUGUAGGGCGUGGUUUCCUCGUUUUUGGCGAUGUUUUGGCGAGUUUUAAAGAAACAAAAAUAAAAAUGUGUGGAAGCUGAAAUAAGAAAUAAAACUCACGCACCGCGAGAUACACACAUACAGAAAACAAGAAAUCCGGACGAACGUGACACACAAACACUCACACAGAAGGGGGCGGUUUUUUUUUUGUUUUGGUAUGGUUAAAAGAAU